rnacentral:rRNA from 1 species
CUGCUAUUGGGAUUCAACUAAGCCAUGCGAGUCGUGAGGGUUCGGCCCUCGGCAGACGGCUCAGUAACACGUAGAUAAUUUGCCCUUAGGUGGAGGAUACCCUCGGGAAACUGAGAAUAAUACUCCAUAGAUCUAGACUGCUGGAAUGCUUUUAGAUUGAAAGAUUUAUCGCCUAAGGAUAAGUCUGCGGACUAUCAGGUUGUAGUCAGGGUAACUACCUGACUAGCCUACGACGGAUACGGGUUGUGAGAGCACUAGCCCGGAGAUGAUAUCUGAGACACGAUAUCAGGCCCUACGGGGCGCAGCAGGCGCGAAAACUUCGCACUGUGCGAAAGCACGACGAGGGAAUCCCAAGUGCUGGCUCGUAAGAGUCAGCUGUUUCUCUGUCUAAAAAACAGAGAGAGUAAGGGCUGGGUAAGACGGGUGCCAGCCACCGCGGUAAUACCUGCAGCUCAAGUGGUGGCCGCUAUUAUUGGGCCUAAAACGUCCGUAGCCGGUUC